AUAACACAAGUAAGAAAAUAAAAAAAAUAAAAAAGACUGAGUAAAUUUCGGAGAUGCAUCUCCGGUUACUGGGAAACUAAACUGCUAAAUUUUUUUGGAGAUGCAUCUCCGAAAUUUUCUACAACUCAGAAGUUGCUUCAAUGGUGUCAAUGUACCGUAUGCAAUGUCAAAAAAACUUAUUUUGAUCAUCAUUUUCAUCCAACAAACAUCUAAUACAUUAUUUCUA
rnacentral:lncRNA from 1 species